AAUCUUUUUCAAGAUUGUUUUUGAAAAAUUGGUCGAUGUGGUUAAAUUGAGACAUAGGUCAUGUUUCCAUCACAGUAAAUAUAUUAACAGUGGUGACAGUGAGACCAGUAACAUUU
ensembl:snoRNA